GGGUUUCCUCUAGUUAACAGGCCAUACAGAAACCACCUGUUUAUUCUUUGGUUUGCUGCUUUUCAUUAGCUAUUGUUGUGUUCAAAAUGAAGAAACGCCGGACGGACAAAGGGCAAAAGGUUAAAAUCAAAUGUAUUUAAUAAAAGAAAGGGCGUUGUGGUAAAAGGGACAUCUCAGCCGUGGAGCCGCUGGUCUUUGCAACAACAGGCCACAGGGCCCAUUGACCCCCCCCCCAUAGUGCCUGUCUGUUGCCUCCACCAGCAAACUCGAGGACAAUGGUUGCCAACAGGUAUUUAUACCGUAAAGGUGUGAAAGUUAGUGUCCACACCUGUGGGAGUGGUCUUCUGGUGAGUUUAUUGUAACUCAGAUUUCGAAUGACCCCCAGUCAAUACCAGUUGUUGUGCAAGUACUACAUGCAUGCAUUCAGGUUGAUUACAUUACAUUAAAUACAAUCAUAACUGUAAAUUGAUAUUAUUCUAUUGAUUACAGUUUCAAUAUUACAGUGGUUUUACAAUAUUGUCAUUACUUUAUUGAUUACACAGUUUCAGAAUCAUGGCUGUAUUCUGGUGUACACUAUAUGCAUUUUAUUAAUUUAUGAACCGGGUCGUCAGUUUAUUUCUAAUAUCCAACACAAUGGUAGGAAUGCUUUCCCAGGACUUCAACCGGUGCUUGUGAUUUCCAUGUUU